rnacentral:rRNA from 1 species
CGCAUCUGUGCAUGCAGCAUAUCAAUAAGCGGAGGAAAAGAAACUAACAAGGAUUCCCCUAGUAACGGCGAGUGAAGCGGGAAGAGCUCAAAUUUGAAAUCUUAAAGGGUUUCCCUUUACGAAUUGUAGUUUAAAGAAGUGUUUUCUGUUGAGGUUUUGGUAAAAGUUCUUUGGAAUAGGACAUCAUAGAGGGUGAGAAUCCCGUAUUUGACCUUUACUUUCAACUUUGUGAUACACUUUCAAAGAGUCGGAUUGUUUGGGAAUGCAGUCCAAAAUGGGUGGUAAAUUUCAUCUAAAGCUAAAUAUUGGCGAGAGACCGAUAGCGAACAAGUACCGUGAGGGAAAGAUGAAAAGAACUUUGAAAAGAGAGUUAAACAGUACGUGAAAUUGUCAAAAGGGAAGCGUUUGACACCAGUGUUGUUUUUCUGAAAAUCAAUUAAAGAACUGUUUAUGCUAAGUUGUUUAGACUUUAUCAGCUAUCUGUUUAGUUUUAGGCUUUUCUUUAAUGCACUUUUCAGUUAACAAGUCAACAUCAAUUUCUUUUGCUGUAAAAAAGCUUGAGGAAGGUGGCUUGAGAUUCGUCUUAAGUGUUUAUAGCCUCUUGCCUAUGCAGUCGGAGAGAUUGAGGUCUGCAGCGUAGAUCCUUCGGGGCUAAAUGCAUUUGUGCUAAGUUAUAAGCAUUUUAUAGACAACUUGUUGACUAUGAUUUGUCUUGUAGCUUACUCGCUUAUGUUAUUUUACCUACGCUUAGGAUGUUGAACGCGCACAGAGUCUC